rfam:Ascaris lumbricoides genome assembly, scaffold: ALTE_scaffold0000066
UUGCCACAUUCUUUGCUGGGCAUGGCUCUAUGUCAUGCUAUCUAGUUUCAUGACUAGAUCCAUACUCAGCUAGGAGUGUGGCUC